rnacentral:sRNA from 1 species
GCCAGGAGUGGUGGCUCACGCCUAUAAUCCCAGCGGCUUGGGAGGCUGAGGCAGGAGGAUCACGAGUUCAAAGCCAGCCUCAGCAACGGCGAGGCACUAAGCAACUCAGUGAGACCCUGCCCCUG